AUGAAGAGAUCAGCCCGACCUUCCAAGGUCUUCUGCUUAAAAAAAAAAUCUUUAUCAAACCCCUAUUCUAUGGGCUUCAAUAAACAGAACCCAUUACCUCACGGAAUCUUUUGUUGGCCCCAUACAAGAGAGAACAAAAUGGUUAUUCAGGGGAACGCUUUGGAUUUUAUUGGGAUUGCAGAGGCAAAGCUAGACUAGGUCUUGGAGGCUGGUGUAAGGCGGUGCGCGGAAGGCAGGACGCUGAUGGGAGAGACUGGUCGAAGAAAAGCCGAAAUGGAUUCUCCGUGCUUUGGAUGGAGAAAGAGGGGGGAAGUGCGAGCUCCUUCAACUCGUUCUGUCCGGUGAGGAGUGAUCCAGCUUGGGCUGACGAGAGGCUCCGGAGCCUUCACGUUCAGUGCUUUUUACCUGCCAAUCAAACUGCUACAAGACAACACCCUGAUCUGGCAUGGUCGCCGCGGGUCCAAGCCUGUAGUCCCAAAUCGGAAAAUCUCUGCAGCUGGUACACGCAAAAGAGAAGCCAGGCAACAGACAUAUUACAGAAGAAAGCUCUCGACUCCGAGGUAGAUAUUUCGCAUUGUGCGCUCUCAUCACAUUUGGACAUGAUUGUGCUUUUGAUCUGUUAACUGUUUUACUACAGUAGUAGAGAGGGGGGGAGGAGAGAGGGUGGGGAAAGGAGAUUGGAUUUGCUGUUUUCUUUUGCUCCAGGAAAAGUAAGAGGCUGGCGACGUCCUCGGUUGGAGCGGAAAAGUUGGGGGAACCGCCGUGGUCUUUAAGUUCAACCAGCGGCUCUGGCGUAGCCGAGGAAGUCGCUGGCCCGCUUUGCUUUUUUUCUUUUUUCUUUUUUUUUUAAUUGGCUCCUGGUUUCGGUCAUCUUCUAUCCAAAGGCACCAAGAACCAGAAAUGGGGCGUCCUUGUGAGUUCUGCAUUGCUUCUUAUUUCUAGAGCGUCCACUAGCUGCAUCUCUGCAGAAGUUAGGAUCCCGGGGCGCUUUCUGCCCUUCAGCCGAGUACCGGCCGCCGCCAGUUCUCUCAGCCUCUAGGCCU
rnacentral:lncRNA from 1 species